ACCACAGUACCAGCAAUGAAACAAAAGUGAAGUGCCACACCCAAUAUUAGCCAAGGGAAUUGAAAAAAUGGAUCCGUCCAUUGAUGAGCAAAAUUUUUCAUUUCCUCUAAAAAGAAUAUUUUGAAAACUCCAUGAUAUGCCACCGAUGCCAAACUACAUUCCAAUCUGAAUUUCAACAUACUCAAAAAAGCAUACAAUCAAGAAGAUUUGAAUCAAAACUACAGACUUAACGAAUCCGCUUAUCAAUCAAAUCACUUAAUAACUCUACUAAACAAUAUGAUGCUAGAACAUUGCAUUAUUCAAAACUAUCAAUUAUUUUUCUAUGUAUUUUACCACUUGUAUAAAUUGUAAAUAAAUAAAAUAAAACUUAGUUAGUAGAAAUACGAUUGUAAUAUUAAAU